ensembl:lncRNA
ACGCUAUGAAUUUCCUUGAGGCUUCCCUUGAAGAUAUUUGCAAAGAGGAGCUGAAGCAGGCAGAGGAGCAGGUUGAGGCUGCAAGGAAAGGGUUGGAUCAGGCAAAGGAGGAAGGUUUGAAACUGCAUCAGUCAUCUGACAGUGAUGAAGAUGAUUCUGUACCUCCUAGUACUGAGGAGCCUACUCCAUCCCGGCGCCCUCGCAAACACAAAGAUAAAGGUGCUCCUUCUACAAGGGUUAGUGGCAGACUCAGAGGGACACCUGCUGACGAUAUAUCCCUAACCCAGCCAUCCCCAGAGAGAGGCAGGCGGGGGGCAUGGAUGACCUCUGAAGGCAGUAUAAGCCAAUCCCUUGAGUCAACACAAAAGCCGCCCCUACACAGAGAAGUGCCUGAGAAGCUUAGCAGUGAUCAGAAAGGCGGAGGGACAACCAAAGAAUCUAUGUCCCUUAAAUCAUCAGAAAGCCAGACCGUUCAAACCAACCAGCAGCUCUCAGAUUCAACAGCUUUAUCCCCUACUAUGUGGGGUUCAGACCCAAAAAUUAGAUAUGUGCCAUCCCCCCACCAGCAGCCCAUCUCCCCAUCAAGCUCUGUGCCUUCAACUGCUGCAUCUCCUGCAAUGGACAAAAACUCUAGUGGCCAUCAGUCCUCCUCUUCUAAUGUAUGCAGAGAGGACAGUGAAGACCAAGGGGGAGAGCCACUGUCUGAAAGUGUACAGUGUAGCAGGAGAGACAGGAGAACCUCUGCGUCAUCAGACUCCAUCUGUUCUCCUGAACAUCACUCUGAACAGGAUGGUCAGCUCCCUCUUUCUCCUACUCUGGCAUCACCUAACUCUCGCUCACCACGAAAGCGGCAGUCAGCUGAAAGGGAAAUCCUCAAGGGACUUCCAGAAGAUUCUCCAUCAGCCAAGGUCCUUCGAAAGCUUCCAGGUCGUCUGGUCACAGUGGUGGAAGAGAAAGAGCCCAAGCGGAGACGGAGGGGCUUGAGUGGAAGUGGAGGAGCACAUACUGAGGGGUCAUCAGAGGAAACUGAACAGGCUGAGCCAGUUCCAGAACCAGCCUCUCAAUCAUCUGAUGGAGGAAAUCAAAUUCUUAAAGACUCUUCUCCCAAAUCAGUGCCCACAUCCUUAGCUUCUUCACCACCACCACCACAAGAGCAGGAUAAGGUCUCAUCUCCAUUACAGAUUAUUUCAGGAAGAGGGCACCACCCUUGUUCCCCAACACACCAUUCACCAGAUAUGCCUGUCCUACGGAACUUACCAGUACGCCAGAGGCUUGAGACAGAGUCUCGAAUGGCUGCACAGUUAGGAGAGCAAUUUGUAGGACGAGGUAAAGGGGUGGAUCGGAGAUCUACUUUAUCACCAAAGAAACCAGAAACAAAUUCAGACAAGGAUAGUGCUGCUCCAAGUGACUCUAUGGCAACGAAGCGCAAGAGGGGCAGGCCACCUAAAACACCCCCAAGGGCACUAGAGCUGCCAGAAGAGAAGACACAGGUAACCCAGAAAACAAGUCCUGAGCAGAGUCCCUCUCACUCACCAAAACGGAAAAGGGGUCGUCCCCGUAAAGAUUCCACCACAACUACAAGUUCAUCCCCAUCUUCUCCUUCUACAUGUGCUCCUUCCUUCCAAGAGCCUAAUUUGUCAAGGUCCAAUGUUAUGCCUGUGACUUUGCCUGCUAUCAGUAAUACUUCACCAAUAAGCUCUCCAGUCAACCCCACUUCACCCUCAAAUGCUGCUGAAGUAUCAUCUCCUAAACUAGAUUCUGAAACCAAUCAAAAAACUACAUCUGUUUUACUGUCUUUUGUGCAUAGAGACUCUCAAAAUAUGUCAUCAUCUACAUCAAAACUUGGUGUAGACUCACAUAGUGAAACUCACACCAAUCUGAACCCCAUAAUUGCAUGCAUUGACUCUGACCCCAGUACAUUUGAAACUUCACCACACAACACUUCAACAGCAACAAUCUCUCAGACAUGUACAGCUUCUUCACCUACACUACAUCCUCCAAGUCCUCUCAGAGAGCCUCCCACUUGUACUGUCUCCAUUCAUGAAGAGGAACUUGCCCAUACACCUGUACUUACUGAGACCAGUGAAAUCACAGCAUCUUCAGAACCUUCAAAUGUCUCAACUGCUGUAGAAACCAAGGAAGAUUCAGUUAAUCAGCAAAAAGAUAAUUUGCAGUCCUCAAAUACAUUGAAUCAAGUCCCUUCACAGCCCUUACACAGAACCAGUACAAUUGAAGACUCUCCACAAACCUCUGUAGAACACUUGUGCAAUAUAGCUGCAUCUCUUACUCCCACUCAUCAGUCGUCAUCCUCCCAGCCUUCUCCUUCACCUUCUUUGACUUCUGGGGAUAAGCUAGAAUCAUCUUCUUUUAAAUCGGAGGCACCAGAACCUACUGUUACACUGACUGUUUCAACAGUCCAACAGUCCACACCUAAGUCUGAUCAAACUUAUUUUCCUCCCUCACAACCUCAAACUACAGACAUCGAAGAAGGAACAGAUUCAACAGUCGAAUCUCACAAAAUGUCUUCAACGUCUUUACAAUUUCCAUCCACCACUAAUCAGAUAAAAACUGAUUCUUUGUCCACAUCCAAUUAUACAGAUGCAGAUUCUUCUCAGUCCAAAAACAUGCCAGUGGAGACCAUGGCUGAUAAUCAUGAAGGCCAACAUUCACCUAAUGAGGCGGUUGUAAAUGAGGAAGAGGUUGUGACUAAGGAGACCGAGAAAGUGGAAAUAGACAGUGUUGCUGAAGACGAUGCAGGAGAAAAAGACGGCAUCUUAUCUCAGCCAAAAAGAAGGAAAUUGGUUAGUUUGCCAAAGGAACAGACACCCGGUGCUGCAGGAGUUGCCUCAUCAAAUUCAGAUAUCGAGUCCCAUGAUGACCUUAAGAUUGAUGGACCUGAUAAGCCAUCAGUAGAGGAGUCAAGAGAGGAUAAAGAGACCAGAGCUUCUGCCAAAAAACGAAGCAUCAG